rnacentral:rRNA from 1 species
AUUGAACGCUGGCGGCAGGCCUAACACAUGCAAGUCGAGCGAGCGGCGGACGGGUGAGUAAUGUCUGGGAAACUGCCUGAUGGAGGGGGAUAACUACUGGAAACGGUAGCUAAUACCGCAUACCAUCGGAUGUGCCCAGAUGGGAUUAGCUAGUAGGUGGGGUAAAGGCUCACCUAGGCGACGAUCCCUAGCUGGUCUGAGAGGAUGACCAGCCACACUGGAACUGAGACACGGUCCAUACUCCUACGGGAGGCAGCAGUGGGGAAUAUUGCACAAUGGGCGCAAGCCUGAUGCAGCCAUGCCGCGUGUGUGAAGAAGGCCUUCGGGUUGUAAAGCACUUUCAGCGGGGAGGCGUUACCCGCAGAAGAAGCACCGGCUAACUCCGUGCCAGCAGCCGCGGGAAUAC